rnacentral:rRNA from 1 species
GGAGGGGUGCGAGCGUUAAUCGGAAUUACUGGGCGUAAAGCGCGCGUAGGCGGGCGUGAUCAGUCGGGAUGUGAAAGCCCUGGGCUUAACCUGGGAAUUGCACUCGAUACUGUCAGGCUAGAGUAUGGGAGAGGGAAGUGGAAUUUCCGGUGUAGCGGUGAAAUGCGUAGAUAUCGGAAGGAACACCAGUGGCGAAGGCGACUUCCUGGCCCAAUACUGACGCUCAGGUGCGAAAGCGUGGGUAGCGAACAGGAUUAGAUACCCUGGUAGUCCACGCCGUAAACGAUGAGAACUAGAUGUCGGGAGGAUUUACCUCUCGGUGUCGCAGCUAACGCGUUAAGUUCUCCGCCUGGGGAGUACGCCGGCAACGGUA